rnacentral:rRNA from 1 species
CCUACGGGUGGCAGCAGUAGGGAAUAUUGGACAAUGGGCGCAAGCCUGAUCCAGCCAUCCCGCGUGCAGGAUUAAGGCCCUCUGGGUUGUAAACUUCUUUUCUUUGGGAAUAAAAACUCCGAUUCAUCGGAGCUUGAAGGUACCAGAGGAAUAAGCACCGGCUAACUCCGUGCCAGCAGCCGCGGUAAUACGGAGGGUGCAAGCGUUAUCCGGAUUCACUGGGUUUAAAGUGUGUUUAGGAGGCUUUGGAGAAAGCCCGGAGCUCAACUCCGGAAUUGCCAUUGAUACUGGUUAGCUUGAAUCAGGUCGAGGUGGAUGGAAUAUUACAUGUAGCGGUGAAAUGCUUAGAUAUGUAAUAGAACACCGAUUGCGAAGGCAGUUCACUAGGCCUGUAUUGACACUGAGGCACGAAAGCGUGGGGAUCAAACAGGAUUAGAUACCCGAGUAGUC